rnacentral:rRNA from 1 species
CCUACGGGUGGCUGCAGUGGGGAAUAUUGGGCAAUGGGCGCAAGCCUGACCCAGCAACGCCGCGUGCAGGAAGAAGGCUUUCGGGUUGUAAACUUCUUUUGUCAGGGACGAAGCAAGUGACGGUACCUGACGAAUAAGCCACUGCUAACUACGUGCCAGCAGCCGCGGGAAGACGGAGGGUGCAAGCGUUAUCCGGAUUUACUGGGUGUAAAGGUCAUGUAGGCGGGACUGCAAGUCAGAGGUGAAAACCACGGGCUCAACCUGUGGCCUGCCUGUGAUACUGUAGUUCUUGAGUACUGGGGCGGUAGACGGAAUGUCUGGGGUAGCGGUGAAAUGCGUAGAUAUUAGGAGGAACACCAGUGGCGAAGGCGGUCUGCUGGACAGCAACUGACGCUGAGGCGCGAAAGCGUGGGGAGCAAACAGGAUUAGAUACCCUUGUAGUC